AGCCUGAUGCAGCGACGCCGCGUGAGGGAUGACGGCCUUCGGGUUGUAAACCUCUUUCAGCAGGGAAGAAGCGAAAGUGACGGUACCUGCAGAAGAAGCGCCGGCUAACUACGUGCCAGCAGCCGCGGUAAUACGUAGGGCGCGAGCGUUGUCCGGAAUUAUUGGGCGUAAAGAGCUCGUAGGCGGCUUGUCGCGUCGGUUGUGAAAGCCCGGGGCUUAACCCCGGGUCUGCAGUCGAUACGGGCAGGCUAGAGUUCGGUAGGGGAGAUCGGAAUUCCUGGUGUAGCGGUGAAAUGCGCAGAUAUCAGGAGGAACACCGGUGGCGAAGGCGGAUCUCUGGGCCGAUACUGACGCUGAGGAGCGAAAGCGUGGGGAGCGAACAGGAUUAGAUACCCUGGUAGUCCACGCCGUAAACGUUGGGCACUAGGUGUGGGCGACAUUCCACGUCGUCCGUGCCGCAGCUAACGCAUUAAGUGCCCCGCCUGG
rnacentral:rRNA from 1 species